AUAUUGCACAAUGGGCGAAAGCCUGAUGCAGCAACGCCGCGUGAGUGAUGAAGGCCUUCGGGUUGUAAAGCUCUGUCUUCUGGGACGAUAAUGCCGGUACCAGAGGAGGAAGCCACGGCUAACUACGUGCCAGCAGCCGCGGUAAUACGUAGGGGGCAAGCGUUGUCCGGAUUUACUGGGCGUAAAGGAUGCGUAGGCGGAUACUUAAGUCAGAUGUGAAAAUCCCGGGCUUAACUUGGGAACUGCAUUUGAAACUGGGUAUCUAGAGUGCGGGAGAGGAAAGUGGAAUUCCUAGUGUAGCGGUGAAAUGCGUAGAGAUUAGGAAGAACACCAGUGGCGAAGGCGACUGUCUGGACCGUAACUGACGCUGAGGCAUGAAAGCGUGGGGAGCAAACA
rnacentral:rRNA from 1 species